rnacentral:rRNA from 1 species
AAUCAACGCUGGCGGCGUGCCUAACACAUGCAAGUCGAGCGCGAAAGCGGGGCAACCCGCAAGUAGAGCGGCGAACGGGUGAGUAACGCGUGGGUGAUCUACCUCCGAGUGGGGAACAACAUCGGGAAACUGGUGCUAAUACCGCAUGACAUCCUCAGGUCACACUGAGGAUCAAAGCCGGGGACCGUAAGGCCUGGCGCUUGGAGAGGAGCCCGCGUCCGAUUAGCAGUUGGCGGGGUAACGGCCCACCAAGGCGACGAUCGGUAGCCGGCCUGAGAGGGCGGACGGCCACACUGGGACUGCGACACGGCCCAGACUCCUACGGGAGGCAGCAGUGGGGAAUUUUGGACAAUGGGGGCAACCCUGAUCCAGCCAUGCCGCGUGAGUGAAGAAGGCCUCGGUUGUAAG